GAUCCAAAUCACUGACCCGACCUGUCUUGUUCAUUACAUACACCCUUAAACAUUAGGUUUUGUUUCCUAAUCUCAUCUGCCGCUUGAGCUCCAGCUAAAAAUGUUUCCAACUCCACUGAUGAACCUGAGCUUCCUUUUGAAGAUGUUGUGGAUCAUUAAUUCUUUCCCAUGGCCAUGUAGUAAACUAGAUCGUAUAUCAGCUAUUAGAACUGUGUCCUCCGAUUGUUGGGAAUAUCCAAAGUUUUUUGGUGCUUGAUUGAAGGGUUUUGACCCCUAAAAGUGCAUAAACAUAUAGAUCGAACGUUUAGUUGUCGUCGUUGAUGGUGCGAUUGUGCUGAUUAGAGUUUGGAGACAGGGUCAAGGAUUUAGCUGAAGAAGAAACUUGGAAAUGUAGAAGAAAAAGGCCACUGACGAUCAAACUGGCUAACUGUCAGGGUGACCAUCAAGGUUAAUCAGACCUCUGAUGAUCCAUUAACUUGGCCAUCAGGAUGAAAUAGUGUAUGGAAUCUCAGGUCAUCAAGCGAUGGUCUACAUGAUAGACCGUCAGGACAGUGACGACCUGUCACCAUGACCGACACCCCUUAACCAAAAAGUGGCCGUUUGGGACCAUUAGCGACAGUUCAUGUGAUGGAUCGUCAGGCUUCUGACAGGCCUUCAACAUGACCAUCAACUUUUAUGUGGCUUUAAUAAGUUUAAAUUUAAAAUUUCCAGUACCUGGAAACAUAUAAAUACCCAGUUUAGGUUUUAUUUAGGUAUUUUUUUAUGAUAUUUCUAUCAUUGAAAACUGAUUGUAACGUAGUAUUCUCUGAGAUUCAAGAAAAAUUAUUGUAACUUUUAUAAGUAAUUCUCUAAAUUUAUUUAUGAAUAACACAAUGAUUUCUUCUUCUCC